rnacentral:rRNA from 1 species
UACGUAGGGGGCAAGCGUUGUCCGGAUUUAUUGGGCGUAAAGAGCGUGUAGGCGGCCAGACAGGUCAGCUGUGAAAACUCGAGGCUCAACCUCGAGACGUCGGUUGAAACCGUCUGGCUAGAGUCCGGAAGAGGAGAGUGGAAUUCCCGGUGUAGCGGUGAAAUGCGCAGAUAUCGGGAAGAACACCCGUGGCGAAGGCGGGUCUCUGGGCCAAUACUGACGCUGAGGAGCGAAAGCGUGGGGAGCGAACAGG